ensembl:lncRNA
CCUAAGAUCACAAAGCCGGGAUGCAAACUUUGCUAGCCUCCCUCUAGCGCCUAUACUGCUGGCCUGUCUAAGGAGGCAAAGUUACCGCUGGGGAGCACCCAGGUGGUGAGUACAAUUUAAAUUUGAACCCAAGUCUGGCUGACUCCGGGUCGGAGCUUUUAACUCUCCUGCCUAUUUUCCCAAUCUCACCUCAUACAGCCUUUUUAUCUCUGUUUGCCUCCUUUAGGAACCCAAACGUGCUUCCAGAUAUUUCUCUCCUCAGCCCCUACAUCUCCCACCCCCUCUGCCCCCGGGUGGGACAAAGGUUCUCAUGUCUAGAGUUUCCUUCUCUGCUCUGAACUAGUCACCCACAAAUCUCUGCUUUCCAUGAGAAUGCCUGCCCUGGAAGGUCCUAUCUACUCUCCUCCAUUUUCCAUGGAACCGCUUAGAAAUCCCACCCGUCAGCCUCACAAAACUACAUUUCCCAGACUGCUCUGCUCACCGGGAAGGAGAACAAAAAUCCCAUGUCAAAGCAUGUGGCUCCUAUUUUGGGGUCGGAAAAUCUGGUCACUAGCUUGGAUAAAGCGUCCCCCUCCUCUUCCUGUCCCUGCUGAGCCUGGCACAGAAGGGGUCAAUGAAUAUUUGCGGAACGACUGCUCCAAGACUUUGUUUCUUCUCUUACCUAUAAUGACUACCUCCCAGAUAAAUAAGCAUCUCUUUCUCUCUGCCCCGGCCUAAACACCUGACGUAGUCACAAGGUCCCUCCCGGCUCCUGCCCCAAGUCCCUGUGCUUCCACAGGAGGCCCCUUCCAGAACUAACAGCCUGGGGUUCUGUUUGAAGUUUUUCAAUUUCCGAAGUCCCAAGAUUCUGUAACCCAUGUUAAGCACAAGAAAUCUUUUGAUCGGCUGCUAUACCUCCUGCCCAAGCACAGAAGAGAAAGCCCUGGGGAGGACCUGGAUUGUCACAGUGUUGUCCUUCCAGAGAAGGUCGACCAGAGGUCGGCCCUGCUGAGAACAGGCAGCUGAGGUCUCGCAAUGUCCAGACAUUCGGCAGGUCCUGCAUCAAGGACACUCCGGUUCCUUGUGCUCAUUGCUCCACCAUCCACACUGCCAUUCACGGUGCCCAAAAUGGGACUCGUGCCGGUUCCAAGCAGGACAUCUCCUUCUUCCAGCCAUGAGAACUCCGCUUGUGCAGACCGGGGAAAUGAGUGCCUCAUUACUCAGCCAACUGGAAUGUGGGAGAAUUAGAUCUCAAGAAAAAUGACCCAUGAAUGGACCCUGGUGAUCCAGGGCCUUGAAGGUUCAGAGGUGCUUCCUCCUGAGUCCGCACUGGCCCCAAGCUUUCCUUCCCGUGCCUUCUGCAGUUACCAUUUACAGGACACUCGCUACGCGCUGAGCACGGUGCUCAGUGCUCUCCCGCCAUCAGCUGAUUUUCUCAUCUUCACAACAGUCCUGCAGUAAAUGACAUCCGGAAGGAAGCAGCCCAGGCUGCUACCACAGCUUCAUAACCAUCAGACUGGGGCUCCUCCUGACUGGGGCUCUCCAUCCUCAGUGCAUGCCUUCCACUUGUGACCCAAGACACUGCUGGAGGAGGAAGGAGCCAAGAAGAAGGCCACUUCUCCUCCAAGGACACUUCCUGGAAUUCCCUUCCGCUUAUCCCCCACUAACCAGAACUAACUCCCAAGGUCCCUGGGAAAUAGGGUAUUAUCAAAGUAGGGGUUCUAUUCCCAUGGCCAAGGGGGUGAACAGAUAUGGGGGGCCCACUGGCCUCUCUGCCACGUUUCACAAACUUCUUUCCAGUGUGUAUAGUUUUGUAUCCUGGUUUUUUCUCUCUCUCUCUUUUUUUUUUUUGGUG